rnacentral:rRNA from 1 species
UACUGGGCAAUGGGCGCAAGCCUGACCCAGCAACGCCGCGUGAAGGAAGAAGGCUUUCGGGUUGUAAACUUCUUUUCUCAGGGACGAANNAAGUGACGGUACCUGAGGAAUAAGCCACGGCCAACUACGUGCCAGCAGCCGCGGUAAUACGUAGGUGGCAAGCGUUAUCCGGAUUUACUGGGUGUAAAGGGCGUGUAGGCGGGAAAGCAAGUCAGAUGUGAAAGCCACGGGCUCAACCUGUGGCCUGCAUUUGAAACUGUUUUUGUUGAGUACUGGAGAGGCAGACGGAAUUCCUAGUGUAGCGGUGAAAUGCGUAGAUAUUAGGAGGAACACCGGUGGCGAAGGCGGUCUGCUGGACAGCAACUGACGCUGAGGCGCGAAAGAGUGGGGAGCAA